rnacentral:rRNA from 1 species
GACGAACCGUGCGAACGUUGUUCGGAUUCACUGGGCUUAAAGGGCGCGUAGGCGGACUCGCCAGUCUGUGGUGAAAGCCCCCAGCUUAACUGGGGAAGUGCCGUGGAUACUGCGAGUCUGGAGGAGGGUAGGGGCAUCUGGAACGCUGGGUGGAGCGGUGAAAUGCGUUGAUAUCCAGCGGAACUCCGGUGGCGAAGGCGAGGUGCUGGACCCUUUCUGACGCUGAUGCGCGAAAGCCAGGGGAGCGAACGGG